CCUACGGGAGGCAGCAGUAGGGAAUAUUGCUCAAUGGGGGAAACCCUGAAGCAGCAACGCCGCGUGGAGGAUGAAGGUUUUCGGAUUGUAAACUCCUUUUGUUAGAGAAGAUAAUGGCGGUAUCUAACGCAUAAGCACCGGCUAACUCCGUUCCAGCAGCCGCGGUAAUACGGAGGCUGCAAGCGUUACUCGGAAUUACUGGGCGUAAAGAGCGCGUAGGCGGGUUAGCAAGUCAGAUGUGAAAUCCUAUGGCUUAACCAUAGAACUGCAUUUGAAACUGUUAUUCUAGAGUAUAGGAGAGGUAGGUGGAAUUCUUGGUGUAGGGGUAAAAUCCGUAGAGAUCAAGAGGAAUACUGAUUGCGAAGGCGACUUGCUAGAACAUAACUGACGCUGAUGCGCGAAAGCGUGGGGAGCAAACAGGAUUAGAUACCCCUGUAGUC
rnacentral:rRNA from 1 species